UACAGAGGUCCCAAGCGUUGUUCGGAUUCACUGGGCGUAAAGGGUGCGUAGGCGGUUUGACAAGUCUGAUGUGAAAUCCCGCAGCUUAACUGCGGAACUGCAUUGGAAACUGUUGACUAGAGGAAUGGAGGGGAGACUGGAAUACUUGGUGUAGCAGUGAAAUGCGUAGAUAUCAAGUGGAACACCAGUGGCGAAGGCGAGUCUCUGGACAUUUCCUGACGCUGAGGCACGAAAGCCAGGGGAGCAAACGGG
rnacentral:rRNA from 1 species